rnacentral:lncRNA from 1 species
CACCACCACACCUGCAGCACCACCACACCUGCAGCAUCGCCACACCUGCAGUACCACCACACCUGCAGCAUCGCCACACCUGCAGUGCCACCACACCUGCAGCAUCGCCACACCUGCAGCACCAUCACAUCCGAUGUCUCGUUUGCCAAAUGAUCUAGAUGAAGCCAGUGGCCGAGAUCCCGAAGGAUACCUUAUUGGAAGUUGAUCCCCAGUUGAAGCCAGUGACCAGCUCCCGAAGGAUACCUUAUUGGAAGUUCAUCCCCAGAUGAAGCCAGUGACCAGCUCCCGAAGGAUACCUUAUUGGAAGUUCAUCCCCAGAUGAAGCCAGUGACCAGCUCCCGAAGGAUACCUUAUUGGAAGUUCAUCCCCAGAUGAAGCCAGUGACCAGCUCCCGAAGGAUACCUUAUUGGAAGUUCCACUGCUUGUUAUGAUAAGUGAUAAUCUAAAUAUUUUGUUCAUCAAAGAGAUUAUAGAUCUAGCGGAUUUCUCUGGCAAUUCCUUCGUGACAAUACUGAACGCCCAAAUAUUGAUAACACAGUAUAAUCUUAUGUUUUUAAAAUACUGACCUGUAGUUGGUUUUGCUAGACAAGUCAAUGUUUUCGUCCUUAGAAUAUACACUGAUCAGCUAUCGGUAUAAAGCUUUCGUGAAAGUUAGGGUAGAUCCUGAUGAGGAAAAUAUUAGGAUAUGAUUAUUUAGUAAAUUUAGUGGACACUAAUAUAUAUGCACCAGAAAAUCCCUAAACAGUUAUAUGUGUUAAUUAGCAUACACAAUAGAAUACAAACUUGAUUUGACAAUUUGAACUACCAUCCUCAUUCCUUACACUUUUUUUUAUUCUUGACAUAAAUACUGUUGACUUUUAGCAGAGUGACAUGGAAUUUAAAUAAUAAAGUGAAAAUUCAGACCUUUGUAAAUAACCUUAAUUUGUUACAAAACAGCAUUAUUGUGGAAUAAGUGAUUAACGUAGUCUUAAUUCAUUUGAUUAUGUCAGAAUUUGGUAAUUGAUGUUAUACACUCUCACGAAUUCAAAUAUCAAAAUAAACCAGAUAUUGACGAUGGUUGAGUCCAGUUCUGGGCAGUAUUCAUAACACUUGUGCUGACUGGAUCAAUGUAGAGUGACUUUUGGAAGGAGACUUUAAUUCCAAGUUAUUCAGAAAUCCUACACAUUUUAGGAAUGAAAACUUUUAUUAACAUUUGUUCCUCCUCCACAGAUGAUGGACGACAGUGCAGAGUGAAAUUACAAGCAUUGUGGCCAGACUUCCAGAGAGCCUGUCCUCCAUUCCCUGAGACCCUUUCUUGUGAAGGAAGGCGUUCACAAGCAAGGUGCUCAGGCAUGGAUGGCAGUGCUACUUCCUCAGUGGGCCUUCACCAUAUUACAACCCCAGAAUUUCAGCAAUAUAAAAAUUAACUUCCGAAGAACAAUGCUAUGUAACUGCCCCUCCAGCAGUAUUACUACAUCUGAGAAUUGACUGAAUUUUUAUUUUUUGUGUAUUGUGUGUGUGUAUAUAUAUAUUAUUCAAAUUAUAAUCUGUUAUAUUGUUAUUCUUUAAACUAGUCAGUCUCUUACAUUUAUAACAUAUAAAUGUUUAGACUGUAGACCAGUUAGUUGCCCAUACUUGAACUACUGACCCUAACCAGGAUACAAUCUCGCAACAGUUGCCUGUCAGGUGCUAUGUGAUAUCAGAUAAAAUAAAGGAUGCCCAACUUGGGAUCCUCGAUUGAGUCCAAAACAUAGACCACUGUACUAUAGGACUUUUGCCUCUCCAAUUUUUUUCUUUACACACUAGUAUGCGUGCGAGUCAGCUCAUUAUGUCUACCUAAACUCAAAGAUAUACUUACUAAAAAUAGAUUACACAGUAUAUGAAACGUGAAUUUACUCUUGUUUAUUAGUCCAAAGCUAAAUGAAUUGUGGGGUUCAGUCCCUGAGCCCAUUAUGUGCCUCUGUAACCCUUUCCACUACCGCCCACAAGAUGGGUAUGGGGUGCAUAAUAAAUGAACCAAACUAAAACUAUUAGUCCAAUAGCAGCCGAAAAUGGUGACAUUUUAUGGUGAAAUAGAAAUGGCAAUGAUAUUAAAAUAUAAACGCAUAAAGCUUUUACUGUGGAAAACUUAACAUCCAAUUUCUGUCAUAACAAUUACUAAACAGUUAACAAAAAUUCCUUUUGAUUUAUUAAAAUUUCUGAACAGGAUGUAACUUGGUGCUAAGAUAAAACAGCUGAUCCUGACAAAUUUUAUCUAAGAACAUUAAGUGCAUUUAAAAAUUAAAAUAUGACACUUUUCACAAUAUUGUACUUUUCAUCAAGUCAUUCGAGACCAAAACCUUUCCAUGGUACUGAAAUCUAGAAAAUGUGACACCAACCUUGAGAUGAUUUUGGGGCUUAGCGUCCUCGCGGCAGUUUCCCAGUAUGCUUUCUGUUGAAAUUGUUUGAGUUUUAUUAAUCUAUUUCUUUUAUAAAAUUCUUAAUAUAUUCGAUAAAAAAAAAAAGGUUGCAGCAUACACACUUGUAUCUUUGUUUCCAUCAGUGUCACACUGUAAUUGCUAGAAUUAGGUUGGAAUAUUAAUAUUUAUGGCAAGGCAUGACUCUUCUAACAGUGAGCACUCCAAUUGUUUAUUCUGAAUAAGAGCUAGGAAACACUCCAAUAUUUAGUGAAUGUCUUGUUAUCAAUGAUUUUAAACUAAAUGGUGAGUUACUUUGAGCUUUGUAAUUAUUCCAUUCACUCAGAUACUGGAACUCGUGCUCAGAUACUCAUGCUCUACCCAAAAUUUGCUAUUCCAGACUAGUAGGAAACUCUUGGAGUUAUUUAAGAAAGCAGAACAGUGCAGACUAGAACUAGCAGGUUCAUUAUCACAAUGAAAUGUGUCAAGUAAAACAUAUGUAUGGGGUAAGUACAAUCAGCAAACAGACGUAGUCACAGCUCGAAUAUGACUUUGCUACGGGUAUCUCUGGCAGUUCGGA